AACGAACGCUGGCGGCGUGCUUAACACAUGCAAGUCGAACGGUGAAGCAGGAGCUUGCUCCUGUGGAUCAGUGGCGAACGGGUGAGUAACACGUGAGCAAUCUGCCCUGGACUCUGGGAUAAGCGUUGGAAACGACGUCUAAUACCGGAUACGAGGCGUGGGGGCAUCCCCAACGCCUGGAAAGAAUUUCGGUCCAGGAUGAGCUCGCGGCCUAUCAGGUAGUUGGUGAGGUAAUGGCUCACCAAGCCUACGACGGGUAGCCGGCCUGAGAGGGGGACCGGCCACACUGGGACUGAGACACGGCCCAGACUCCUACGGGGGGCAGCAGUGGGGAAUAUUGCACAAUGGGCGCAAGCCUGAUGCAGCAACGCCGCGUGAGGGACGACGGCCUUCGGGUUGUAAACCUCUUUUAGCAGGGAAGAAGCGAAAGUGACGGUACCUGCAGAAAAAGCACCGGCUAACUACGUGCCAGCCGCCGCAGUAAGAC
rnacentral:rRNA from 1 species